rnacentral:rRNA from 1 species
UACGUAGGGGGCAAGCGUUAUCCGGAUUUACUGGGUGUAAAGGGAGCGUAGACGGACUUUUAAGUCUGAAGUGAAAUGCGGGGGCUCAACCCCUGAACUGCUUUGGAUACUGGGAGUCUGGAGUGCAGGAGAGGUAAGCGGAAUUCCUGGUGUAGCGGUGAAAUGCGUAGAUAUCAGGAGGAACACCGGAGGCGAAGGCGGCUUACUGGACUGUAACUGACGUUGAGGCUCGAAGGCGUGGGGAGCAAAC